rnacentral:rRNA from 1 species
CAAAUUUGAAAGCUGGCGUCUUCGACGUCCGCAUUGUAAUCUCGAGAAGUGUUUUCCGUGUUGGACCAUGUACAAGUUCCUUGGAACAGGACGUCAUAGAGGGUGAGAAUCCCGUACUUGACAUGGAUGCCCAAUGCUUUGUGAUACGCUCUCCACGAGUCGAGUUGUUUGGGAAUGCAGCUCAAAAUGGGUGGUAAAUUCCAUCUAAAGCUAAAUAUUGGGGAGAGACCGAUAGCGAACAAGUACCGUGAGGGAAAGAUGAAAAGCACUUUGGAAAGAGAGUUAAACAGUACGUGAAAUUGUCGAAAGGGAAGCGCUUGAAGUCAGACAUGCUGCUGAGACUCAGCCUUGGUUUUCCUUGGUGUAUUUCUCAGUUGGCAGGCCAGCAUCAGUUUUGGCUGUUGGAUAAGGGUAGGAGGAAUGUGGCAUCCUCGGAUGUGUUAUAGCCUCUUACUGGAUACAAC